UCAGUGUAAGUUUGACGCGCGUGCUGAACGUAUCAUUAUUAAAACACAAGCGAGUAAAACUACAAAACAAGAAAAACAAAACAAAAGACGAAAUUUUUAUAAGUUAAGAAAUUUGAAAUUAAAGAAAAAAAAAACGUUUAGCACGAAACGGUUUAUAACAAACGUAAACACAAAUAAAUAUUUAUAUAAAAAAAAUUAUUAAUUAUAAAUUAAAAAAAACAAGUUAAAACAAACUUAAAAAGAAAAUUAUUUAUAACAAAAGAAAAAAAGCCGUCGGCAUAAGAAUUUAUUUACAAAAUUUAACAAAAAAAUACAAAACAAUUUUAUACAAACUGUUAAAACAAAAAACAUCUCGGAGAGUGAGAUGAGUGUAAAUUUUGUAACCCAAAAAAGAAGAAAAAGUGCGUAAUACAACAAAAUGAAAUGAGAGUUUAACUUAUAGAGUAGUAAUAGGCUCUCCCUCCCUACUUUUUCUACACAAACCCACUAUAACAACAACGUCUAUAGUUCUAUAUAUUUAUACUCAAUUAUAUAGAUAUUGAUAAUUAUUAAUACAGCAGCAACAACAACAACAAAAUGUUAUGAUGAAAACAUCAACAAUCUGGUGAAAAUAUAUAUUUUUUUUUUGAAACCAAACCUAAAAAAGACAAACCCAACAACUAUAAAACAUCAUUCAAACUUCAUCAUCAAAACACAACAUCAUAUCAAAAAAAUCUGCUCCUCUCUCUGUAUAAAAAAGGAUAUUUUUUUUUAACAAAUUAAUAAGUGUCAACAAUCAUAAACAUAAUAAUAAAUAAACAAAAUAUAUGUCAUAUAUUAAAAAUUAUGAAAAAAUAAUGACAGUUAAUUAAACAAAAACUAAUUUUAUUAAAGAAAUUAUUUAAAGAAAAAAAGAAUUUAAUUCUUUAACAAAAACACAAACAUGUUUUAAGUUUAAUAACAAAAAAAUAGUUUAAAAAUAUUUUGAAAACAACAAUAGUUAAGGCGUGUGUUUAACAAUAAGUUUAAUUUACCGCGCUUUAAAAAAAAGCUUUUUAAAGUUUUGAAAAGUUUUUAUUUUUGUUGCUUAAUUUCGUGUAUCUUCUCUAAUGAAAAAUAUUUUAUCAACUGUUUUGUGUGAAAUGAGAAGUGAUUUUAAGGAAACCCAUCAAGAAACCAUUAAUAAAAUGAUACAAUUUGGUACUGUCAAAUAUGGAAUUGUUAAACAAUUAAAAGAUCGUGCUAAAAGCACUGAAAAAGAUUCAGCCAGUGAUCAUGAGGAGAAUGGUACAUGUUCACCUUUGGCAGCCACAACCGCCAAUGAAGAUAGUGAUUGCGAUAGAGCAGAAUUAACUCAUAUGGCCACUAGUAAUGAACAUGUUAAUAAAAUUAACACAGCAACACCCGCCGAUAAACAACAACAGCAAGAGACUACUGCAGCAGCAGGCUCAAUAACAGGAGAAGAAGAUCUUAAUCAUAAUAAUAACAUAGUAAUGCCGUUGGAAGAACAACAGCAGCAGCAGGAGUUAAAGAUACAAUCUCCCUCGACAACAACAGAAGAAUUAAAUUCGGCUUUAACCCCCUCUAAAACAUAUCCAAAAGAUCAAGAAUUUCCCUCGCCCACACCACCCGAUCUCAACGAGAGUCAAGAACCCUUAAGAAAAGCUCAAGAGGCCAGCGAAGAAGCUAAAGAAAGCGAAACAUCUACACCGCAAGAGGAAGAAAAGGAAAACAUGUGCUUAACCACGGGUAAAUUGGAAAAUCCUGCCAACAAGGAUGAUAGCACAGAACAAGAGCAAAAUAAAGUGGCUCCAGCACAAGAAAUGGAAGAAGCUGCUGCCUCACUUAGUACAGAGAAAGCUGUAAACAAAGAUGUUGAAAUGGAGGUAGCCGAAUCCACUUCACCCUCAAUGCCUGCCGCUUUAGCCCAACAAUUUGGUGCUGCUCCUGUUAAUAUUGAAGCCAUUAAGAAUAUGCAAUUGGCCAUAGCCCAAGUGGCUGCCAAAACUAUUGCCAAUGGUGCUUCAGGGCAAGAUAAUGAGGCUGCUAUGAAACAAUUGGCAUUCCUGCAACAGACUCUAUUCAAUCUGCAGCAACAGCAACUAUUCCAAAUUCAACUCAUACAACAGUUGCAGUCGCAACUGGCCAUGAAUCAACCCAAAACGGGAGAGGAAACCAAUGAAAUGGAUGAAGAGGAAGAAGAAGAGGGUGAGAAUGGUGAGGAGGACACCUAUGAGGAGGAAGAGCGUAUAGCUCAAAUGGAAUUGAGACAAAAAGCUGAAGCCCGCAUGGCUGAAGACAAGGCUAGACAGCAUUUAAUAAAUGCUGGUGUUCCUUUAGAUUCACUUAAAAGAAAACGUGAUAGCGAAAACCCUGAAGACAUGGAUGUUUCUGCCUCACGACGCAUUAGUGUUGACAAAAGCUCAGAAUAUGCUUUGGAUAAACUUAAGGAUAUGGAAAACAGGCCCUUGCCUUUUGGCUCAAAUUUAGCCUCCUCCAUUAUAACUCAUCACGAUGAUAUGCCAGAACCCAACUCCUUGGACUUGCUGCAGAAAAGAGCUCAAGAGGUAUUGGAUUCAGCUUCUCAGGGUAUUUUAGCCAACAACAUGGCUGAUGAAUUUGCUUUCAAAGAGAAAAAUGGCAAGGCCGGCAAUGAACCUUUCUUUAAGCACAGAUGUCGCUAUUGUGGCAAAGUCUUUGGUUCAGAUUCUGCCUUACAGAUUCACAUAAGAUCUCAUACGGGCGAACGUCCCUUCAAGUGCAAUGUUUGCGGCAGCAGAUUUACCACCAAAGGAAAUUUGAAAGUGCACUUCCAAAGACAUGCCCACAAAUUCCCUCAUGUACCUAUGAAUGCCACCCCUAUACCAGAGCAUUUGGAUAAAUUCCAUCCUCCUCUGUUGGAUCAAAUGUCACCGGAUAGUUCACCCAGCCAUACACCUGCCGCCAUGCCACAACAAAUGCCCAGUCAAAUGCCAGCCAUGAAUUUCCCAGGAGCUUCUAACAAUUUUCCAGGAUUGGCUAAUCUCUACAGACCGCCCAUGGACAUAUUGAAGUCAUUGUCAGCUUCAUCCGGUGCCGCUGGAUUCAGCAAUCCUUUCUUCCCUCAGGUUCCUGGUAAUUUGGGUGAAGCAGCUGUACAAGCUCAAGCAGCAGCCCAAGCUGUUUUGAAUAAAAAUCAGGAAAUUCCCACGGAUUUGAGUAAAACCUCAGAGCCCAGUUCUCCUGUCAACACACAAAUAAAGUCAGAGAUCUGCGAGGAAAAGGAGGAAGAGGAACCAGAACAAAUGGCCACCAAACCAGACACCAUAGUAGAAGCACCCAAAACAUCAACUCCUACUCCCUUGGAUAUUAAGAUCAAAGAAGAGAAAGAUGAUUGUGAAAUAGUACAAGAUGAUAUGGAAGAAGAUAGAGUACACAGUCCCCUACCAGCACCAGCCACAGUCAGUCCCGCCAUUUCUACACACUCACCUUCGUUAAUGAGUUCCCUACCCCAAGUACCUAAUAGCCCGCCUGUACCCACCUCAAAACCACCCACCACACAACAAUUACCGCCGGUAGUACAACCCAUACAACCACCUGCCAUUUUACAUCCACAACCUUCACCGGGUUCUCAACAUCAUUUGGAUCAUCUGCCCACACCAGGACAGCUGCCACCAUCUAUGCAUCAUCGUGAUGACUUCUUUGCCGAACGUUUCCCCCUGAACUUUACCAAAACAUUGUCACCCGAAAGACACUCACCCAUAAGAUCGCCAGCACACAUACCACGUGCUCCCUUCUUUAAUCCUAUGAAACCUCAUGAUAUGGCUUUAUUGCCUCGACCCCAUAGCAAUGACAAUUCCUGGGAGAAUUUCAUAGAGAUUUCGAAUUCUUCGGAGACCAUGAAGUUGAAGGAAUUGAUGAAGAAUAAGAAAAUCACCGAUCCCAAUCAAUGUGUGGUGUGUGAUCGCGUUUUAUCCUGCAAAAGUGCUCUACAAAUGCACUACCGCACCCAUACCGGCGAGAGACCUUUCAAGUGUCGCAUUUGCGGUCGUGCUUUCACCACUAAAGGUAAUUUGAAAACUCACAUGGCUGUGCAUAAAAUAAGACCGCCCAUGCGUAAUUUCCAUCAGUGUCCAGUGUGUCAUAAGAAAUACUCCAACGCUUUAGUGUUGCAACAACACAUACGCCUGCAUACCGGAGAACCCACUGAUUUGACACCCGAACAAAUACAAGCAGCUGAAAUACGAGAUCCUCCACCAUCUAUGAUGCCAGGUGCUUUUAUGAAUCCUUUUGCUGCCGCCGCUUUCCACUUUGGCAUGCCUGGCGGUCCAGGCAUGCAUCCUGGCAUGCACGGUAUGCAUAAUGGCUUGGGUUCGGAAUCUUCUCAGGGUGACUAUGAUGACCAAAUGGAUUGUGGAGAUGACUUUGACGAUGAUAUGUCCUCUGAUCAUAUGUCCAAUAGUAAUGAUUUGGAACCGGGUAGUGAGAGACCAAAGUCAACUGAUGAUUUUAAGGGUUUGCUGUUCGAGCAGAAGCUAAGAAUAGAUCCUACUGGAGUGGUUAAUACAAACCCCAGACCUCAGUCGGCCACCUCUAAUCCAAAUUCAGUAAGUUCACCUCCCACCAGCCCAACAACUGCAGCAAAACCUUUGAGUUCUACACGCGCUACUUCACCAGCCAGAUCAGCUUCCGAAAUGUCACAAGGAGCUUUAGAUUUGACACCACGUGCUGGACCCUCCUCGGCCAAUAGCAGCAUUAGCGCCCGCUCACCACUACCUAGUAAUGCCGGCAAACGUUCACCUUCUCCCGUUAGCAAAUCUCCAAAACUACCACAAAUCAGCCCCUCAGCCGUCAUGCCACCAACUUCUGCUGUCGAUUGUCUACCACCCGGCCUGCAUCACCACUUGCAGCAACAACAUCAACAACUAAUGCAACAGCAAGCAGCCUUGGCUGCCGCUCAACAUCACCAGCAAAUGCAACAUAAUGCCGUCGUAGCCAUGCAUCAAGAACAACUAAGACGCGAAGCAGUUGCACAUGCGCAACUCUCACCGAAUGCCCCACCAUCGAUGUCACAGCAGCCACCAACGGGACAAGCUUCAGCCACCAGCUCACCGCAAAUGCCCCAUCCACAAGCGGGAAAUCCAUUGGUAGCAGCUGCCAGACCACCAUUUGGCAUGUUUCCAAAUCUCCCGCUGUUUCCACCGGCUUCCACGCAAAACAUGUGCACCGCAAUGAAUUCAAUAGCACAGUCUGUUAUGCCGGCGGCACCAUUUAAUCCUUUAGCUCUAUCGGGUGAGUUGAGUCAGAGGCAGCACUACUUGCGGCAUUUGUUUCAAAACAUUCCCCUGCCAUUCGGCUUUGGAGAUUCAUUAUAGAAGUCAUACUAAAGAGAGACCAUUUAAAUGUAAUAUAUGUGAUCGUGGUUUUACAACAAAGGGUAACUUAAAACAACACAUGCUUACCCAUAAAAUUCGUGAUAUGGAACAGGAAACUUUCCGAAAUAGAGCUGUCAAGUAUAUGAGUGGUGGCAAAGAAGAUUGAAAUUAUUUUCACCACACAUUCUCUGCUUUAGAGUUCCCAAACAUAUCCUCCCCUUACCCCACCCCCUAGUUACCAAAGCUGUAAAGGGUAAAAUAAAACUUUUCAUCAAAGUCAAAUCUGUAAAACAAGAUUUAACAAAAAAAUUUAUAUAAAAUAUUAAAAAACAAACAUAAAUAUUGUUUAAAACAAGGAGAGUAAUGAAAACCCUUGCAAAGCUCUCUCUCUCUGACUCCCCCUCUCCGCGUAUACACCAACAAACAAAUACACUUUUACUUAAAACACUCGCGUAUAAAUGAUCUCACUGAUACAAAGCAGAUAACGAUGAUAAAAAAGAAUAACAACAAAACAGACUCUCUUUCGUUGUGUGUGAUGAUGAUGAUGACGACAACAGCAACAACGAUGAUGAUGAGAUGAUGACUUUUGUUUCUUUUUGUGAUUUUAAAGAAAAUAUGAUUGUAACAACAAAAACAAAACAUAUAAAUACACAGGGUUUGCUGGGUAGUGGGUUGGUUGACUGCUGCGUUAUUGUAAUGACGUUGUGUCUUGCUGCUAAUAGUAAGUCGUCUGUCUGUCAGACUGUAGUUUAUGUUUUGCUCACAUACUAGUUGUACAAAACACUAACACUACAAAGUACUAACACAGCUAAAAGUCUACCUACACCUUUAAUGAAGAUGAAUGUUUUAAAUAUUAAAUGAUGUAUAAAUGUAUAAAUAAUAAAUAAAAAAAAAACAACAACUUUAAACAAAACAUUUAUAAGAUGAAUGAAUAAAGAAAAGAAAUCAUAAAAAAAUUAAAUAUUUCAAACAGAAUGAAGCAAAAAUAUAAAAAAACACAUAAUGAAAAUGAUUGAAAACA